CCCCCCUGUACUCCCUCCGUCCCAAAAAAAAAAAGCAAACCGCGGGUUUACGUACCAAUGUUUGACUAUCCGUCUUAUAUGAAAUUUUUUUAUAAUUAGUAUUUUCAUUGUUGUUAGAUGAUAAAACAUGAUGAAUACUUUAUGCGUGACUUAUCUUUUUAAUUUUUUUCAUAAUUUUUUCAAAUAAGACGGACGGUCAAACAUUGGACACGGAAACCAGGGUUUGUCUUUUUUUUAGGACGGAGGGAGUACUAGUUUGU
rnacentral:misc_RNA from 1 species